GGACCCCUAGCUCAGUCGGUCAGAGCAGCGGACUCAUAAUCCGUUGGUCCUGGGUUCAAGUCCCAGGGGGUCCA
rnacentral:tRNA from 1 species